GCUACUGCUGCCCUCUGCACUGAGGACUGACACAGCAGGACUGGGAUGAGACACAGUUGCCUUUCAGUCUUUCAGUCCAGAUCAAUUACCUUAUUGAGAAGCCACCAGCAAGAGUCCUGGGUUGUACAUCAAACUUCAACGGCAUAUGAAACAACCCUCUGGAAAAGAGACCGCCUGGAUAAGACCAGGACAUCAUCCUUUGCUAGUUUCCUGAAGGUCACUUGGAAGCUGAAGACAAGCAUGAGAUAAUGGCAACAUGAAAACAAAAAAACCAGGAAGUAUUAUGAUAAUGUGAAGAAAUGGCUCUAAUAAAGGUAAAGGAAGUUGUGCAUAAAAUCCCCUCCAGUAGAAAGCAUCAGAGAAUACAGUUUUUCUACACUGGGAUGUUAAGCUGACACAGAUGUUACAGAGGAGCCCUUUCCAUAUAAUCUCAGAUGCCACAUCUGGAAACAGCUAGGAAUAUCAGCUCAACCUGCAACUGCACUUGAGUGGAGCAAGAGCAGGGCCGCCUGUGCUGCAGUGAGUGAGCAGCUUUCUCCUGGCCUGCUCCCAGGUACUUCUAAAUGGCAGAUAUGAAAUACGUGCCCCCAGUGUUGAAGGAGUUAAUGUGACAUUGCAAAAUGAGCUUUGCUAUUUGCUGUUUUGUUUGGCCAAUAGCUGACACAAGCACAUUCUGCCACCUGGCUAAUUUUUUGCUGCCAAGUUAUUCAUUCAGUCCAGUGGUGUGAAAAAGGAGGCAUUUAAUAGUCAACAGAUCACUUUAUAGGGUAAUAGUUUAUGAUUUUCCAUGACUACUUAGAUGCUGCUCAAAUUAUUCUUGAUUGAGCAAAUUAUUCUUUUUUUUAAAUCAUCCCAUUCAUUUAUUUACUAAUGACUCUAUCCCUUCUCUCCCAUACACCAUUUUUUAAAAGUGGUAACUAUUGGCCAUUUCCAUAUUUGAGGGGAUUUAGCCAAAGGAAAACUAUGAGUGUAUUAUAGCUCACAUCACAACUUUGAAAUACCUUUUGCCAAUAUAUUACAGGUUGAAAAAAACUCCUUUCUGAGCUUUCCAGGGAGUCCUGCAUGGGGGUGAGGUGAGCUGGAGAGAAACCCUGACAUCUUGGAUCAGCAGAUGAAAAUAUUAUUCCUCUCUUCCCCCCAGUUAUUUUAUUUUUUCAGCAGGUGUUUGCUUGUUUGGCUGGUUUUCAAGAUGAACCACAGCCUGAUGCACUCAUUCCAGUGGGGUCACCAGCUAGCUGGAAACCCUUCAGCCUUUGCUGAUAGGGAGUCCUUGGCAAGGCUAUCUAAGUUUAGCAUUGGAACAGCAAACCCCUUCCUCAGGAGAGUCCAAACCUGCUCAUAGUGGUAUUAGGAGUGCUCCAUAUUUAUGCCAUAUUUAUGAGAGAU